ensembl:lncRNA
CUUUCUGGACAUGGGCACAGGCCUUCUGUUAGCUCCUAUGACUGCUGUGCAAGGUGAUUGCAUGGGGGAACAGAUUACCCAGAGCAGAUGUGGAUUCUACAGCCCAGUUUUUUCAAAAUCCUGAGAAACCUGAUCUGAAUUCAACGUUAACCCUGCUUUGUGGACAAGACUGGGUGAAAUGACCUCCUGAGGUUCCUUCCAACCUAUCCCAGGCAGUGUAACCUUUAGAUGCAGCACAUAAUGGGAGACAAUCAUCUGACAAAAAACAGAAGAGAGUUUGCAACUCUGACAUUUAUUUCCCCGUGAUUUAAAAGAAUGCACUCCUCAGCAUACACAGCUGCAGCCCUGCUUGUCCUGCUUUGUAACAGCCUUGCCCUGCUGGAACCACCUGAUGAUAGCAAAUUUCAGUCCUCUGGGUCACCUGCUCUACUGGGAUGGAGAAGCUAUCCGUAUUUUUGCAUGUAACACCAUCAGAGGUCCCUGACAUUUAAAUACAGACAACUCAUGAGGAUCCAGCCUUGGAGGAUGACCUUGUUGAACGCAGGUGGGAAUGGUGAGGACUUGCACCACUCCAAUGCUUUACUGAGUUUCAGUGGGAAAGUGGGAAGAAACAGUGAUGGGACUCUCAGUAAGGCCACAUAUGCAAGGUGCAGUCGAGACACCAGGUUGGGUUCUUUAGAACUGGCUCAGGAAAGGGAGCUUGCUGGCAUGCACUGUGCUCCCGCUGGUGUGCUCUAGAAAGUAUCUGGCCAUCAGGAGAGUUUCUCCUGAGCAGCAGAUGAUGUGAUGGAAAAAAUAACAACUAGUGUUUUCAAUGGAGUGAAAAAGGCAAAGUGUGGUGGCAAUAAAAUAAAACCUUUGAACUCUGUAAUCGUGAAGCAAGCUACAUUUUUCACCGUGAGCAAAGAACAUGGCUCAAGGUUCACUUUGAAGCUAACUUCUCCCUUCUUUUCUUUUUUUUUCCCUUCCUUCCUUUUAACCUAGCUUAAACUUCAGGCUCACAGUAUCUGACAGUGUUUUUCUAAAUAAUGAAAGAGAGCCAUGCUAUCCAAGGCACUCCUGACGGGCAGUGUGAAGACAGACCUUCCUUCACACUGUGGCUUUUCUACCUAAACAGAUGGAAGUUCCCCUCCCUCCCGCUGCUUUCCAGCACUCCUUACAUCCUGCCCCCACAGGGAGCAGCUGAAUCCUGGCUUUUUACCAAGCUGGCCAAGGGCCGGAGGUGCUGUGCUGCCCUUCCUCUUCCAACCAUGGUGCCUGACUGCUUGUGCAGGCUGCCAGCCCUACAUCCCAGGUCUGUUUUGCUGCGAGGAGGGAUUGAGAAUCAAUGGCAGCAAGGAACAGAAUGGCAGCAAAACAGGGGGCAAAAGAAGAGGAUCCAUACUGGAAGGGAGGUGGGAUGGAACUGGGACUUGUUCCUGGGAAGAUUCUUUUCUUCCUUAGAUCAGACAGCAUCUGCUUCUUUAUUUUCUCUACCCUCAGCAUGACGCUUCUGGUUUACAUGAGGUUCUCCUCAUUUAUUUGGGCUGUGGUAGCACAUAGAGGCUGAGCCUGGGGUUGGGAUGCUUCUGUGCAAGGUGCCUCCUCACCCUACCCCCAGUACUAGCCCUGAGCAUGAGUUUGUUAUAAUUGUGGCACAUCCAGUGAUGGCUUUGCCUAAAAUUGCUCAUCUUGCUCGCUCAGCACAUCUGCACUUUGACAUAGUUUUAAUUACUGAUACAAUUGGUGGCUUUAUUUCAAACGUGGGUAAUUUCAUGACCAGUUUUUAUACACCUUUUUAGUUCUUUGCCCAUGAGUUUCUCAAAGCAAAAUCAAAUGAAUCUCUGACAUCAUCACUGUUCUUUCCUGAAAAUGGUUAUAAGGGAUGUGGCUUAAAACCUCCGGAGAUAUCAAGUAUGAUUUCAAUAGAUGUUUUUCUUAGAACAUACUGUACUACAACAUUAUCCACCUAUCACACAACAGCCAUAACAAUCUUCCAAAAAAUAUAUUUUUUUAAGUAUGUACCCAUUUUUUUCCAAUGUUAAAUUGUUAGGGCCCAAAAUAUUCAUCGCUCUGGGUGCAAAAAUUCAGAUAUACAUUUUUUUUCCCCACUGGCAGUGGGCUUCUCAUACCGAGUGCUCAUCUUUCAUUCUUAAAACAUUGAUUUCUUUUUGAGCAAUUGAAAACCACGUACAUCUCCUAUGUAAAAAGGAAAAGACUAAAGCUGUUGUUGCAAUGGAUGGAGACAGAACGGGAGACCUUCUGAUGUGCACAGGCACAUCUUAGCACAGCACCACGCCAAACAAGUUAAUGGGCAACGUAUACAGUUCAUCCUAUGUCCAUAGUUGCUUUGAUAGCAUUUUGUGGAUAAGUGGAUUCUUAUAUUUUCUAUAAAUGGAUUCUUAUAUUUUCUAUAGAAGCAUUUUCUUGACAUAGCAAAAUUUCAUAGGUAAGUGAUGCUCCGUAAACACAUUUUACAUUGGCAUCUUACAGAGAAGCAGUGUUACAACUAAGGCAGCGGCCUUGACUCACAGGGUUAUGUGAGUGCAGUGGAAAAAAAGUUUGAAUCGUGGAAUCACAGAACAGUUUGGGUUGGAAGGGACCUCAAAGCCCUCCCAGCUCCAAUCCCGUGCCAUGGGCAGGGCUGCCCCCCACCAGCUCAGCUGCCCAGGGCCGCAUCCAACCUGGCUUUGAGCGCCUCCAGGGAUGGGGCACCACAGCUUCUCUGGGCAGCUGUGCCAGGGCCUCACCGUCCUGUGAGUAAAGAAUUCCCCCCCUUUAGAACUUUUGAUUUUUUUUUUUUUAAUUAUUAUUCCCAACAAACAAUCAGUGGGAAUGCUGCAAAUUCCCGAGCUUCGUUUCUAAUGGUAAUCACCAACUUUCCUUAACAUUUCUCCUUGAAGAAGUUUCUUUUGCACGCAGCCAAAGUGACGCUCUCCCCGGAGCUGGGUGCUCGGGGCCAUUUGGCUCCACAGCGUGCUGGCAUGCAGUGAAGUUUUGAUUCCGGCUGUUUUAAUUAAAGCCUAUUUCCAUAGGAUUACUCCAGCGUGGAUCAGCUCCACGGUUCUGUUUGUUUUAAUAAACUCUCAGAGCUCUCCUCCUUCUAGAGAGAGAUUGUGCUGCAAACAAGGCAGCCCUGCGGUUCGUAGCAGAAACAUGGAAAUGCUGCCGUAAAAGAUGAAAAAAAAAAGAAAAAAAAAAAAAGCUUUGAUGGAAUUCAUUACAAUCUAUGGACGAACAGAAACAACCUACAGCUCUAAGGCAGAUGGGCCGGCACAGGUGGGCAUGCAGCGGAGCGGGACGCCGGUACGUACCUGCAGGCAGCGCGGUGCCACGUCUCCCGGCCCGCUCGCUCCGCGGGACCUUUAUAGCGCUUUCCGGGGGCUAAAAAUAAACUUUAGGGGACGGCUAAGAGCUCGGGAGGGGGCGGCCGCGGGCUCUUACAGCGAUGCUCGAGCCACGCUCCGGCUCGGGGCCGGAGC